rnacentral:rRNA from 1 species
GGAGAGUCCAGCCGGGCCUGCGCUUAAGUGCGCGGUCUUGCUAGGCUUGUAAGUUUCUUUCUUGCUAUUCCAAACGGUGAGAGAUUUCUGUGCUUUUGUUAUAGGACAAUUAAAACCGUUUCAAUACAACACACUGUGGAGUUUUCAUAUCUUUGCAACUUUUUCUUUGGGCAUUCGAGCAAUCGGGGCCCAGAGGUAACAAACACAAACAAUUUUAUCUAUUCAUUAAAUUUUUGUCAAAAACAAGAAUUUUCGUAACUGGAAAUUUUAAAAUAUUAAAAACUUUCAACAACGGAUCUCUUGGUUCUCGCAUCGAUGAAGAACGCAGCGAAAUGCGAUACGUAAUGUGAAUUGCAGAAUUCCGUGAAUCAUCGAAUCUUUGAACGCACAUUGCGCCCCUUGGUAUUCCAGGGGGCAUGCCUGUUUGAGCGUCAUUUCCUUCUCAAACAUUCUGUUUGGUAGUGAGUGAUACUCUUUGGAGUUAACUUGAAAUUGCUGGCCUUUUCAUUGGAUGUUUUUUUUCCAAAGAGAGGUUUCUCUGCGUGCUUGAGGUUUAAUGCAAGUACGGUCGUUUUAGGUUUUACCAACUGCGGCUAAUCUUUUUUUAUACUGAGCGUAUUGGAACGUUAUCGAUAAGAAGAGAGCGUCUAGGCGAACAAUGUUCUUAAAGUUUGACCUCAAAUCAGGUAGGAGUACCCGCUGAACUUAAGCAUAUCAAUA